rnacentral:piRNA from 1 species
UCCUUUGGCUAUUUUUGUGAACCCUGCAAU